UUUAGCCCCCCACGAAACGACCAUGUAUAGCAAGGCAUUUUUGACCGAAAAAAACGACAUAGUAUAGUAAGGCGUUUUUAGCCGAAAAAAACGACCAUGUAUAAUAAGGCGUUUUUAGCCGAAAAAAACGACCAUGUAUAGUAAGGCGUUUUUGACCGAAAAAAACGACCAUGUAUAGUAAGGCGUUUUUAGCCCCCCACGAAACGACCAUGUAUAGCAAGGCAUUUUUGACCGAAAAAAACGACAUAGUAUAGUAAGGCGUUUUUAGCCGAAAAAACGACCAUGUAUAGUAAGGCGUUUUUGACCGAAAAAAACGACCAUGUAUAGUAAGGCGUUUUUAGCCGAAAAAACAACCAUGUAUAGUAAGGCGUUUUUAGCCGAAAAAAACGACCAUGUAUAGUAAGGCGUUUUUAGCCGAAAAAACGACCAUGUAUAGUAAGGCGUUUUUAGCCGAAAAAAACGACCAUGUAUAGUAAGGCGUUUUUGACCGAAAAAAACGACAUAGUAUAGUAAGGCGUUUUUAGCCCGAAAAAACGACAUAGUAUAGUAAGGCGCGUUUUUGACCGAAAAAAACGACAUAGUAUAGUAAGGCGUUUUUAGCCCGAAAAAACGACAUAGUAUAGUAAGGCGUUUUUGGCCUGAAAAAAACGACAUAGUAUAGUAAGGCGUUUUUGGCCUGAAAAAAACGCCAUAGUAUAGUAAGGCGUUUUUAGCCCGAAAAAAACGACAGUAUAGUAAGGCGUUUUUUGGCCUGAAAAAAACGACAUAUUAUAGUAAGGCGUUUUUAACCCGAGAAAAACGACAUAGUAUAGUAAGGCGUUUUUAGCCCGAAAAAAACGACAGAUUAGUAAGGCGUUUUUAGCCCGAAAAAUACGACAUAGUUUAGUAAGGCGUUUUUGGCCCGAAAAAAACGACCAUGUAUAGUAAGGCGUUUUUGACCGAAAAAAACGACCAUGUAUAGUAAGGCGUUUUUAGCCGAAAAAACAACCAUGUAUAGUAAGGCGUUUUUAGCCGAAAAAAACGACCAUGUAUAGUAAGGCGUUUUUAGCCGAAAAAACGACCAUGUAUAGUAAGGCGUUUUUAGCCGAAAAAAACGACCAUGUAUAGUAAGGCGUUUUUGACCGAAAAAAACGACAUAGUAUAGUAAGGCGUUUUUAGCCCGAAAAAACGACAUAGUAUAGUAAGGCGCGUUUUUGACCGAAAAAAACGACAUAGUAUAGUAAGGCGUUUUUAGCCCGAAAAAACGACAUAGUAUAGUAAGGCGUUUUUGGCCUGAAAAAAACGACAUAGUAUAGUAAGGCGUUUUUGGCCUGAAAAAAACGCCAUAGUAUAGUAAGGCGUUUUUAGCCCGAAAAAAACGACAGUAUAGUAAGGCGUUUUUGGCCUGAAAAAAACGACAUAUUAUAGUAAGGCGUUUUUAACCCGAGAAAAACGACAUAGUAUAGUAAGGCGUUUUUAGCCCGAAAAAAACGACAGAUUAGUAAGGCGUUUUUAGCCCGAAAAAUACGACAUAGUUUAGUAAGGCGUUUUUGGCCCGAAAAAAACGACCAUGUAUAGUAAGGCGUUUUUGACCGAAAAAAACGACCAUGUAUAGUAAGGCGUUUUUAGCCGAAAAAACAACCAUGUAUAGUAAGGCGUUUUUAGCCGAAAAAAACGACCAUGUAUAGUAAGGCGUUUUUAGCCGAAAAAACGACCAUGUAUAGUAAGGCGUUUUUAGCCGAAAAAAACGACCAUGUAUAGUAAGGCGUUUUUGACCGAAAAAAACGACAUAGUAUAGUAAGGCGUUUUUAGCCCGAAAAAACGACAUAGUAUAGUAAGGCGUUUUU